rnacentral:rRNA from 1 species
UCGAGGAUCUUCGGCAAUGGGCGCAAGCCUGACCGAGCGACGCCGCGUGCGCGAUGAAGGCCUUCGGGUUGUAAAGCGCUGUCGAGGGGGAGGAAAGCCCGCAAGGGUCUGACCUAUCCCUGGAGGAAGCACGGGCUAAGUUCGUGCCAGCAGCCGCGGUAAGACGAACCGUGCGAACGUUGUUCGGAUUCACUGGGCUUAAAGGGCGCGUAGGCGGGCCACCAAGUCCGGGGUGAAAUCCUUCGGCUUAACCGGAGAAUUGCCUGGGAUACUGGUGGUCUCGAGGGAGGUAGGGGCCGCGGGAACUUCCGGUGGAGCGGUGAAAUGCGUUGAUAUCGGAAGGAACGCCGGUGGCGAAAGCGCGCGGCUGGACCUCUUCUGACGCUGAGGCGCGAAAGCCAGGGGAGCAAACGGGAUUAGAUACCCCCGUAGUCC